GUGGAUUAGAUACCCUGGUAGUCCACGCCCUAAACGAUGUCAACUAGUUGUUGGGGGAGGAGACUUCCUUAGUAACGCAGCUAACGCGUGAAGUUGACCGCCUGGGGAGUACGGUCGCAAGAUUAAAACUCAAAGGAAUUGACGGGGACCCGCACAAGCGGUGGAUUAUGUGGAUUAAUUCGAUGCAACGCGAAAAACCUUACCUACCCUUGACAUGCCAGGAACUUUCCAGAGAUGGAUUGGUGCCCGAAAGGGAGCCUGGACACAGGUGCUGCACGGUUGUCGUCAGCU
rnacentral:rRNA from 1 species